rnacentral:tRNA from 1 species
GGUCGUAGCUCAGUGGUAGAGCACUUGCCUCGCACGCAUGAGGCACUGGGUUCGAUCCUCAGCACCA